AUAGCGAAUGUUUCAUCAAACAGUUUCGUUCAGUUUAAUAGCUUUAAAGGCUAUACAUUUUCUCAUUCAACUGAAAUAUGCAUCUCCUCUACUGACCUUUACACAACAGAGCGCCCCCUGGCGAGUGAGAUCUGCCCUGCCAUCAUCUUUCGUGGUCAUUUUUCAUAAACUAUAUAUAGUGCAUCUUGUAGGUUGUGGUUGGUAGUCUUCCUGAACACAGACACACACUUGGGUCUGACAUCAAGCAUUUGCCAUGUAUGUACAUUAAACAUCAGCAUUAGCAACCAAUAGCAUCCAGUGUGGUUUCAGCUUUCAAACUUCCUCUAAAUUGUUCUUACAUCCAGUCUUAAUAAACUAAACUAAACAGAGUAAAAGUGCAUUAAUGUGUCAUCUGUAUAACAAAAAAUGUCUCUACGAUGCUUGAUGUUGGUCGUCAUCUGCCUUGUGUUCAUCACCACAGAAGCUGUUUCAGAUUUAUGGGGAUUUGUCAUUUGGAUUGCCAUUGUUUCCAUCAGCAUGGUUUUUAUCAUCCUUUUCCUGUUUAUACCACCUUGUCACAAUUAUUGUGCUGCUUGCAACGGGAGACACAAGACUUUCCAGA